AGUAGUACAUUAGUUGAGAGUUGGGGAGAGAAAGAGAGAGAGAGAGAGUGAGAGAGAGACUUGGGCGGGCAGACCUAAGGUAAAGGUACAGUGUCCAGGGUUUACAGUCUUGGACGGCAGGGGAUGUGAUGUCGUCAUAGAGCAAACAAACUCUGACCCAACAGCUCUGGAAAAAAGCAGGGAGCAAAGACGAAAGAAAUCACUCCACCUGCUCUUGCAGACACGCCUUCUAUUCAGACCUCACCUUAGUAACUGUCACACAAUACAGUCAACCGUCACACCUGACUUUGGACCUUACCACUUCAAAUCCAGGGUGGACUAUGAACUGUGGAGAUACUGUACUGUGUCUAAAGUGUACACGAACCGUGUAACCCUCAUUUCUUGAAAAGAUUUCUUUAAGGAUCAAGUUGAACAAGCCCUGUCAUGUAAUCAGAAUCACUUCAAACAUCUGCUGGUUUCAGCCUUGUCCAACUUGAUCACAAGUGUGGGUGCGGGGAAAACGGCCUAACGCACACACCAUUUAAGAAUAAAGCUCUCCAUGAUGUUCUGGCAUUGAUAAAACCUUCUCAAUCUCAUAUACUCAACUUCUAGAAGUACACCACUUCUUCUUCUGACUAAACUCAUUAGAAUGCC